UACUGGGCGUAAGCGCACGUAGGCGGUUACUCAAGUCAGAGGUGAAAGCCCGGGGCUCAACCCCGGAACUGCCUUUGAAACUAGGUGACUGGAAUCUUGGAGAGGCGAGUGGAAUUCCGAGUGUAGAGGUGAAAUUCGUAGAUAUUCGGAAGAACACCAGUGGCGAAGGCGACUCGCUGGACAAGUAUUGACGCUGAGGUGCGAAAGCGUGGGGAGCAAACAGGAUUAGA
rnacentral:rRNA from 1 species